CCAAUAGUCUACAUCUCUCAGCCCAGGCAAUCUAAACAGCUGCAUCUUCCGAAACGUUAAUUUCAUCAUUUUAUCAACAGUAAUUAUUUUAUUUAAUAAUAAUAUUUAAAAUACGUUCAAGAAUCAUGAAGGAUUAGGUUAGGGAUGCAGUACAUAUAGUACCAUCAAAAAGUAUCGAGGAUAUAGUAUUACUCGAAAAUCGAGCAUUGAAGAGCCGUUGAAGGGUCGUUAUUACUGGCUUCUUUGACAUCCGAGUCCAUCUAUUUUUGUAAUUUCUCAUAAACUUCUUCAUUUUGAUGUCACCGAUAUUUUUAUAUUUUUGUAAAAUAUAUUUUUCAUGUUUGGUGAUUUUAUAAUGAAUACAAAAGAAAAGCAACUUGACGAGCUUUUUGGAUGUUUUAGAGA